UACGGGGGGAGCAAGCGUUGUUCGGAUUUACUGGGCGUAAAGGGCGCGUAGGCGGCCAGCACAAGUCAGUUGUGAAAUCUCCGAGCUUAACUCGGAAAGGUCAACUGAUACUGUGCGGCUAGAGUGCGGAAGGGGCAACUGGAAUUCUUGGUGUAGCGGUGAAAUGCGUAGAUAUCAAGAGGAACACCUGCGGCGAAGGCGGGUUGCUGGGCCGACACCGACGCUGAUGCGCGAAAGCCAGGGGAGCGAACGGG
rnacentral:rRNA from 1 species